rnacentral:rRNA from 1 species
UACGUAGGGUGCAAGCGUUAUCCGGAAUUAUUGGGCGUAAAGAGCUCGUAGGCGGUUUGUCGCGUCUGCUGUGAAAACCCGAGGCUCAACCUCGGGCCUGCAGUGGGUACGGGCAGACUAGAGUGCGGUAGGGGAGAUUUGGAAUCCUGGUGUAGCGGUGGAAUGCGCAGAUAUCAGGAGGAACACCGGUGGCGAAGGCGGGUCUCUGGGCCGUAACUGACGCUGAGGAGCGAAAGCGUGGGGAGCGAACAGG